GAAAUGCGAUACGUAAUGUGAAUUGCAGAAUUCAGUGAAUCAUCGAAUCUUUGAACGCACCUUGCGCCCCUUGGCAUUCCGAGGGGCACACCCGUUUGAGUGUCGUGAAAUUCUCAAAACCCUUUUCUUUUGAAGAGGAUUUGGACUUGGAGGCUUUUUGCUGGUUUCGCACAGAAGCGAGCUCCUCCUAAAUGGAUUAGUGGGGUCUGCUUUGCCGAUCCUUGACGUGAUAAGAUGUUUCUACGUCUUGGGUUUGGCACCGCACCUGCUUCUAACCGUCUCAUCGACAAUGAUGGCGUUCCGGUCACCACCGUUUCAUCGGUGGGAGGCUUGACCCACCAAAAAAACCUUGACCUCAAAUCGGGUGAGACUACCCGCUGAACUUAAGCAUAUCAAUAAGCGGAGGAAAAGAAACU
rnacentral:rRNA from 1 species